UAGGUUCUGGAUAUUAGCCCUUUGUCAGAUGAGUAGAUUGCAAAAAUUUUCUCCCAUUCUGUAGGUUGCCUGUUCACUCUGAUGGUAGUUUCUUUUGCUGUGCAGAAGCUCUUUAGUUUAAUGAGAUCCCAUUUGUCAAUUUUGGCUUUUGCUGCCGUUGCUUUUCGUGUUUUAGACAUGAAGUCUUUGCCCAUGCCUAUGUCCUGAAUGGUACUACCUAGGUUUUCCUCUAGGAUUUUUAUGGUAUUAGGUCUAACAUUUAAGUCUCUAAUCCAUCUUGAAUUAAUUUUCGUAUAAGGAGUAAGGAAAGGAUCCAGUUUCAGCUUUCUACUUAUGGCUAGCCAAUUUUCCCAGCACCAUUUAUUAAAUAGGGAAUCCUUUCCCCAUUUCUUGUUUCUCUCAGGUUUGUCAAAGAUCAGAUGGCUGUAGAUGUGUGGUAUUAUUUCUGAGGACUCUGUUCUGUUCCAUUGGUCUAUAUCUCUGUUUUGGUACCAGUACCAUGCUGUUUUGGUUACUGUAGCCUUGUAGUAUAGUUUGAAGUCAGGUAGCGUGAUGCCUCCAGCUUUGUUCUUUUGACUUAGGAUUGUCUUGGAGAUGCGGGCUCUUUUUGGUUCCAUAUGAACUUUAAAGCAGUUUUUCCAAUUCUGUGAAGAAACUCAUUGUUAGCUUGAUGGGGAUGGCAUUGAAUCUAUAAAUUACCUUGGGCAGUAUGGCCAUUUUCACUAUAUUGAUUAUUCCUAUCCAUGAGCAUGGUAUGUUCUUCCAUUUGUUUGUGUCCUCUUUGAUUUCACUGAGCAGUGGUUUGUAGUUCUCCUUGAAGAGGUCCUUGACAUCCCUUGUAAGUUGGAUUCCUAGGUAUUUUAUUCUCUUUGAAGCAAUUGUGAAUGGAAGUUCAUUCCUGAUUUGGCCCUCUGUUUGUCUGUUACUGGUGUAUAAGAAUGCUUGUGAUUUUUGCACAUUCAUUUUGUAUCCUGAGACUUUGCUGAAGUUGCUUAUCAGCUUAAGAAGAUUUUGGGCUGAGACAAUGGGGUUUUCUAAAUAUACAAUCAUGUCAUCUGCAAACAGGGACAGUUUGACUUCUUCUUUCCUAAUUGAAUACCCUUGAUUUCUUUCUCUUGCCUAAUUGCCCUAGCCAGAACUUCCAACACUAUGUUGAAUAGGAGUGGUGAGAGAGGGCAUCCCUGUCUUGUGCCAGUUUUCAAAGGGAAUGUUUCCAGUUUUGCCCAUUCAGUAUGAUAUUGGCUGUGGGUUUGUCAUAAAUAGCUCUUAUUAUUUUGAGGUACGUUCCAUCAAUACCGAAUUUAUUGAGCGUUUUUUAGCAUGAAGGGCUGUUGAAUUUUGUCAAAAGCCUUUUCUGCAUCUAUUGAGAUAAUCAUGUGGUUCUUGUCUUUGGUUCUGUUUAUAUGCUGGAUUAUGUUUAUUGAUUUGCGAAUGUUGAAUCAGCCUUGCAUCCCAGGGAUGAAGCCCACUUGAUCAUGGUGGAUAAGCUUUUUGAUGUGUUGCUGAAUCCGGUUUGCCAGUAUUUUAUUGAGGAUUUUUGCAUCGAUGUUCAUCAGGGAUAUUGGUCUAAAAUUCUCUUUUUUUGUUGCGUCUCUGCCAGGCUUUGGUAUCAGGAUGAUGUUGGCCUCAUAAAAUGAGUUAGGGAGGAUUCCCUCUUUUGCUAUUGAUUGGAAUAGUUUCAGAAGGAAUGGUACCAACUCCUCCUUGCACCUCUGGUAGAAUUCAGCUGUGAAUCCAUCUGGUCCUGGACUUUUUUUGGUUGGUAGGCUAUUAAUUAUUGCCUCAAUUUCAGAGCCUGCUAUUGGUCUAUUCAGGGAUUCAACUUCUUCCUGGUUUAGUCUUGGAAGAGUGUAAGUGUCCAGGAAAUUAUCCAUUUCUUCUAGAUUUUCCAGUUUAUUUGAGUAGACGUGUUUAUAGUAUUCUCUGAUGGUAGUUUGUAUUUCUGUGGGGUCGGUGGUGAUAUCCCCUUUAUCAUUUUUAAUUGCGUCUAUUUGAUUCUUCUCUCUUUUCUUCUUUAUUAGUCUUGCUAGUGGUCUGUCAAUUUUGUUGAUCUUUUCAAAAACCAACUCCUGGAUUCAUUGAUUUUUUGGAGAGUUUUUGUGUCUCUAUCUCCUUCAGUUCUGCUCUGAUCUUAGUUAUUUCUAGCCUUCUGCUAGCUUUCGAAUGUGUUUGCUCUUGCUUCUCUAGUUCUUUUAAUUGCGAUGUUAGAGUGUCAAUUUUAGAUCUUUCCUGCUUUCUCUUGUGGGCAUUUAGUGCUAUAAAUUUCCCUCUACACACUGCUUUAAAUGUGUCCCAGAGAUUCUGGUAUGUUGUAUCUUUGUUCUCAUUGGUUUCAAAGAACAUCUUUAUUUCUGCCUUCAUUUCGUUAUGUACCCAGUAGUCAUUCAGUAGCAGGUUGUUCAGUUUCCAUGUAGUUGAGCGGUUUUGAUUGAGUUUCUUAGUCCUGAGUUCUAGUUUGAUUGCACUGUGGUCUGAGAGACAGUUUGUUAUAAUUUCUGUUCUUGUACAUUUGCUGAGGAGUGCUUUACUUCCAAUUACGUGGUCGAUUUUGGAGUAAGUACAAUGUGGUGCUGAGAAGAAUGU
rnacentral:lncRNA from 1 species